rnacentral:rRNA from 1 species
GUUGUAUAGUCAAGUAAUUAAGUGCAUGUGGUGGAUGCCUUGGCAGUCAGAGGCGAAGAAAGACGUAAUAGCCUGCGAUAAGCUUCGGGGAGGCGGCAAAUAUCCUGUGAU